UGGCAAUCAGUUUCCCAGAUUGGACCAUCUAAUUCAUUUGGAGUCACUCAAGAUAUUUUACUACGGGAGCCCUCUUAAUAAUGGCAAGUUCAAUCUCCCGGAGAAUCUAAAGGAAUUGACUCUAUCAAACUUUCACCUACCAUGGAGUCAUAUCUCUGCAAUUGGAAAACUAGAAAACCUAGAAGUUCUGAAGUUACUUUCCGGUGCCUUUGAUGGGCCAACAUGGGAAAUGGAGGACGAAGAGUUCCAGAAACUCAAAUUCUUGAGCUUAGAGACACUGAACCUUGUGGAAUGGACUGCCUCUUACGAACAACUUCCCAAACUUCAAACACUUGUCUUGCAAAAUUGCAAAGAACUUGUGGAAAUUCCUGAUGACUUUGCGUACAUAACCACGCUGAAAACAAUUGAAGUUCACUGGUGUGAGCAGUCCGCAGAAAAGUCCGCAAACAAGAUCAAGGAAGUAACUCCGCAGAUCAAAGUUGUUAUCAGGAGUUCAUAUUCAAAAUCAUCAGGUUCAAUUGAUGAAAAGCCCUGAUUUAGAUAUCCCAGACAAUUGGUGCUCACAGAAACGAGGGGGUUGUUUAUGCCGAAUCUGUGGUGAAUUCACGAAGCAAGAAGCAAUUCUGGAUGCUUGUUUCAUAAAUUUAUAUGCAGUUUCUUGUUAUCAUCUAGGGCCAUUACUUUUCACUUGUUUUUGUCUUCGAUCGUACUCAUAAGGACAUUAUUAUUAUCAUCAUCAUCUUGUUCAUCAGAGACCAUUCUG